rnacentral:tRNA from 1 species
GGAUGAUUGGCAGAGAGGCCGAAUGCAGCACCUUGCUAAGGUGCCGAAGCGACAGCUUCCGCAGGUUCGAAUCCUGCAUCAUCCG